UGGCGAAGGCACGGCGGAGCUCAAGUGGCGACGGUGGCUGGAGGAUAUCCAUUCGCGGUGGAGAUGGAGCUCCAAUCGGGUGCUGGUGCUGCAUCGCCCGAGCUUGAGCUCAAAAUGGGGAUUUUUCAUCCGCCCGAGCUUGAGCUCAAAGUGGUGGCGGCGGCGGAGGUCCAAUUGUGUGGUUCUGCUGCAGAAGCUGGAGGCGGACAAGAGGGAGGGGGUCUACGUGGUGGACGGGGAAGGCAACCUGGACGGCCUCACGACGCUCGGGGAUCCAGGUUCGCCAAGCUCGUCUACUAGCUGCCGCUGUACUUCAAUGGCGUCAUCCCAAUGCCGUAUGUUCUGCUUGCUGCAAAGCUUCAGUACUCCUACUCCAGGAUAAAGAGGUGGAUGGAUGGAUGGAGAGGAAGGAAUGAAGAAGAUGAUGGUCUGCUAGCUGACGUCAUGCCCCUCGGUACCCGCGAUGCAUUCUGAUCCAGGGAAGAGCUUUCGGAAGAUUUAGACAAAUGUGCAGCCUUUGGCGUCUUCAUAUUCGUUUGAUGUUCAGUCACUGCAG